CUACAGAAUGACUCAUAGCAAGGUCAAUUCCGAGAAGUGAAUCACCAGCUAUGUAUUGAAUUCAACAACGCCGUAAACGCCGCUAGUGCGCAGCAUACCACUCAUGAAUACAAACACUAAUAGGGCGAUGCGGGGAGGCCGCGGCCGGGCGUUGACCCCGCUAUCCCGCUGAUCUGUUGCCCAACAAAACAAUGAAGCAUCGCGAGCCGGCAGCCUGGCUAGGCUAGCCAGUUUGAUGAUUUACUACACCUAGAAACUUUUAUUGGUGUAUUGGUAUUGGUUAGUUUGACUUGACGUUUGCGCUUUUGUAUUAAGUAUUAUGUGGUAAGUACUUACCAAAGUCCAAAUAACUAAGAACAGAGGUAAUACUUAUUUCUUA